rnacentral:rRNA from 1 species
CUAGCCUUGACAUAUAUUAGAACUCUGCAGAGAUGCGGGGGUGCCUUCGGGAGCUUUUAUACAGGUGCUGCACGGCUGUCGUCAGCUCGUGUCGUGAGAUGUUGGGUUAAGUCCCGCAACGAGCGCAACCCUCGUUCUUAGUUACUAACGGUUCGGCCGAGGACUCUAAGAAGACUGCCUUCGCAAGGAGGAGGAAGGUGAGGACGACGUCAAGUCAUCAUGGCCCUUACGGCUAGGGCAACACACGUGCUACAAUGGCCAGGACAAUGAGACGCAAUACCGCGAGGUGGAGCAAAUCUAUAAACCUGGUCUCAGUUCGGAUUGUAGUCUGCAACUCGACUACAUGAAGCUGGAAUCACUAGUAAUCGUAGAUCAGCUAUGCUACGGUGAAUACGUUCCC